rnacentral:rRNA from 1 species
AUUGAACGCUGGCGGCAGGCCUAACACAUGCAAGUCGAACGAGUGGCGGACGGGUGAGUAAUGUCUGGGAAACUGCCUGAUGGAGGGGGAUAACUACUGGAAACGGUAGCUAAUACCUCAUACUAUCGUUUCUGCCCAGAUUGGUUUAGCUAGUAGGUGGGGUAAAGGCUCACCUAGGCGACGUUCCCUAGCUGAUCUGAGAGGAUGACUAGACAAUCUGGAACUGAGACACGGUCCAGACUCCUACGGGAGGCAGCAGUGGGGAAUAUUGCACAAUGGGCGCAAGACUGAUGCAGCCAGGCCGCGUGUAUGAAGAAGGCUUUCGGGUUGUAAAGUACUUUCAGCGGGGAGGCGUUACCCGCAGAAGAAGCACCGGCUAACUCCGUGCCAGCAGCCGCGGUAAUAC